GGCAGGCAGUUCAGACGACAGAACUGCCCGCCGGAUCACACUGCCGCAAGUGUGAAAGUAGCCUAAAGGGGUUUUCUGGGAGUAGAAUAUUAAUGACCUGUCCUUAGGAUAGGUCACCAGUAUUGGAACGGUGGGGUUCCAACACCCAAGACUGUCACUGAUCAGCACAAUUGCCUCCUCACAGCCUACCAAGCACAGCGCCGUACACUGUAUAGUGGCCGUGUUCAGUAUUGCAGCCCAGGUCCAUUUCCUUGAGUUGGACUGAACUGCACCUAGGCCAUGUGACCUAUGGACGUUACGUUGCUGGCCUAGGACGAUGCCAUGGUGCUCAUCGAAGAGAGACCGUCUCUUUACACAGCUGAUUGAUGGGGGUGCCAGAAGUCUGACCCCCACUGAUCUGACAUUGGUGAACUAUCUUGAGGAUAGGUCAUUAAUAUUUUACUCCCGGGAAAACCCCUUUAAUGAAUAUUAUUCUGAUGACUGUAGAUAGUGAGUACUUGUGGCUUAUCUGUAGAAACAUACUCCAGGUCCCUUUGAAAUAUAACAAGUAUUAUCCGACUUUGUGUAUACAGCUCCUGUACAGAUCUGUGUGUCUCUUUGGUCACGGACU